UACGUAGGUGGCAAGCGUUGUCCGGAAUUAUUGGGCGUAAAGCGCGCGCAGGCGGUCCUUUAAGUCUGAUGUGAAAGCCCACGGCUCAACCGUGGAGGGUCAUUGGAAACUGGGGGACUUGAGUGCAGAAGAGGAAAGCGGAAUUCCACGUGUAGCGGUGAAAUGCGUAGAGAUGUGGAGGAACACCAGUGGCGAAGGCGGCUUUCUGGUCUGUAACUGACGCUGGAGGCGCGAAAAGCGUGGGGAGCAAACAGG
rnacentral:rRNA from 1 species